CCUACGGGGGGCAGCAGUGGGGAAUAUUGGACAAUGGGGGGAACCCUGAUCCAGCCAUGCCGCGUGUGUGAAGAAGGCCCUCGGGUUGUAAAGCACUUUCAGUGAGGAAGAACGCCUGGUGGUUAAUACCCAUCAGGAAAGACAUCACUCACAGAAGAAGCACCGGCUAACUCCGUGCCAGCAGCCGCGGUAAUACGGAGGGUGCGAGCGUUAAUCGGAAUUACUGGGCGUAAAGCGCGCGUAGGUGGCUUGAUAAGCCGGUUGUGAAAGCCCCGGGCUCUACCUGGGAACGGCAUCCGGAACUGUCAAGCUAGAGUGCAGGAGAGGAAGGUAGAAUUCCCGGUGUAGCGGUGAAAUGCGUAGAGAUCGGGAGGAAUACCAGUGGCGAAGGCGGCCUUCUGGACUGACACUGACACUGAGGUGCGAAAGCGUGGGUAGCAAACAGGAUUAGAUACCCCGGUAGUC
rnacentral:rRNA from 1 species